GCGACACGCUCUCGCAGAACAACUUGAAACUGUCUGAUGUUGCCGGUGUCUGGCAGGCGCUCAAAGGCGAUCAACUGCUGCGCGCUGAUAAACAGUUGGCGGAAACUCUCGAAGGCGUUUAUCGGCGGGGCCCAAUUUAUCUGCGCUGGCCGCAAAGCCUCAGUUCAUUGGCCUUCGGCACGGGCCUUGGUCGUUUCUUGACGCAGUACGUUGUGUUGCCCUAUGGCAGUGCAUUCGUCGCCAUCGAAGGACCGGCCUAUCUGGCAAUUGGCAUCGCUCAUUUCUUCGGUCGUCUAGGGAAGGAUCAAAAGUCACUCCACAGUUUCGGAUCGGCUCUUAGCUUCAGCAUCUACGCGGCGGAAUUUGUACUCGGCACGCUCAUGCUGCUACUCAUUCAUCGUCCACACUUCCGCCGCUGGAUGUUUCAGUUGCUAUUGCAGUUCUGGAAGGUCCUGCGACUGCUGAUCGUUGAUUGGCCCAUGAAGGCCAUCAAAUCGCCUUUUGUGCAACGGAUUCUGCAAAGUCAAUCUUACGCCGUCAUUCGCGGUUACAUCCUCAGGCCGGCGAUAUUCAGCGCGAUCGGGUUCUUGGCAGUAUUUACCGUGAGGCGCGAAUCAGCAAAUAGGGAUUUGGCGCUCGAGAUAUUCUUGGCAGUGAACUUGUUUUUGAAUUCGCCACUCGGCCGCUACUCCGAUGAGUGGCUAACGGAUGUGAUCAUGCGCUCCUGGCAUGAAUUGCGAAUUCGAGUAUUCGCAGCCGCAUACCAGUGGAUCAUGGACGUGUUUCAUCAGAUUCUGGAAGGCGUGGAGCGAGUGCUGUACGCCGUUGACGAAUGGCUUCGUUAUCGGCGAGGCGAUUCGAAGUUGUUUCUUGUCGUCAAGGCUUUGCUCGGCAGCGUCUGGUCCGUAGUCCGCUAUUUGAUUCGUAUUUAUGUGACGCUAUUGAUCGAACCUCAGGUCAAUCCCGUUAAGCAUUUUCCCGUCGUGACAGUGUCACACAAACUCAUGGUGCCAGUAUCGGUGUUCAUUGCCGAAAACUACGCCGUACCCUAUCUGGAACCGUUCAUUGGUAAGGUGAUGGCCAACACGCUUGUAUGGGUGAACCUGAUCUUAUUGCCUGGCGUGUUUGGCUUCUUGGUAUGGGAAUUGAAGGAGAACUGGCGACUAUUUGAAGCCAAUCGUUCGCGAACGCUCGUGCCUGCUCGCAUUGGCCAUCACGGUGAAACCAUGGUGGGCCUCUUGCAUCCCGGAUUUCACUCGGGAACGUUGCCCAAACUGUAUGCGCGAUUGCGCCGAGCAGUACGCAAGGCGAAUGAAACAGGCGACUGGAAACCUGUGAAUAAGCGUCGCGCGGCACUGCAUGAAGUUGCUGAGCGACUGUAUCGAGUCUUUGAUCGCGAAUUAUGCAAACUGCUGGAAGAAGAUGGCACGAUUGGCGCUUCGGAUGUGCGCGUGGCUGCUGUCGAGCUAGCGACGAACCGCGUUGAUGUCGAGUUCAGGCGCGCCGACAUGCCCAGCGCAUGGCUGGCCGUGGAAGAACGCCACGGUUGGCUGGUUGCCUACGUGCGCCGCUUAGGAUGGAUUGACCAGCUUACGAGCGAGCAGCGCCUGAUCUGGGAAACGGCGCUCGCGGGACUCUACAAACUGUUGGCCAUCGAUUUAGUACGCGAGCAGGUGGAUCAGAGUCUGGGCACGACCGCAGUCUCGUACGAAUUCGUCAGCGAUGGCAUCGCCGCAUACACCGAUGGCUCACCGGAAAAUCGCAUUCUUUAUCGCUUGCGCAAAGGGCGAUCGCGGAUCACUCCGCUGAGCGUCGACGGACACGUGCCACCGGGAUGGCCCGUAUUAUCGAUUGAUCAUCUUGUGUUUCGCGAACUGCCCAUUGAAUGGUCGGCAUGGGUGGACUUUUGGAGCCGACCAGCCAGUGAACGGCCGGGCCGGUUGCUGCUGAUGGCAGAAGCGCAGCAGGGGGCGGCGUAAUAGUAGCCCGGACAAUCCUGUCCGGGUGUUCCCUUUUUUCUGUCUGAGAACAAGUAAAAAAGAAGAAAUAAAGCCCGGACAGGAUUGUCCGGGCUACUACUAACCCUCCCACGAUUUUCCGUCCCAGCGAAUGACGCGCUCGAGCAUCGCGAUCACAUCGCGCGUGAAUGCUGUAAAAAUCAGCUCGCCUUUUUCGGCCGUCGCUUCCCGCGGAUUGCCGAUGUGACCAGCCGCAGUGCGAUCUUUUGUAAUCCAGCCGCGGCUGGCCGGCUCAAACGCAUUUCCAAACGGGACUUCGUCGACGCUCGUGUGAUCGUGAACUAAGUCCGGACGAAUCCGCAGCAUCAU
rnacentral:misc_RNA from 1 species